rnacentral:rRNA from 1 species
GAUGAACGCUGGCGGCGUGCCUAAUACAUGCAAGUCGAGCGAACGGACGAGAAGCUUGCUUUUCUGAUGUUAGCGGCGGACGGGUGAGUAACACGUGGAUAACCUACCUAUAAGACUGGGAUAACUUCGGGAAACCGGAGCUAAUACCGGAUAAUAUUUUGAAUCGCAUGGUUCAAAAGUGAAAGACGGUCUUGCUGUCACUUAUAGAUGGAUCCGCGCUGCAUUAGCUAGUUGGUAAGGUAACGGCUUACCAAGGCAACGAUGCAUAGCCGACCUGAGAGGGUGAUCGGCCACACUGGAACUGAGACACGGUCCAGACUCCUACGGGAGGCAGCAGUAGGGAAUCUUCCGCAAUGGGCGAAAGCCUGACGGAGCAACGCCGCGUGAGUGAUGAAGGUCUUCGGAUCGUAAAACUCUGUUAUUAGGGAAGAACAUAUGUGUAAGUAACUGUGCACAUCUUGACGGUACCUAAUCAGAAAGCCACGGCUAACUACGUG